AGCUCUCAUAGUUUAAUUGGAAAAACAGCCGUUUUGUACCUGGCUGAUGCGGGUUCGAUCCCUGCUGAGAGCUA
rnacentral:tRNA from 1 species